rnacentral:rRNA from 1 species
AGAUUAAGCCAUGCAUGUCUCAGUGCAAGCCGUCCUGUGUGUACGGUGAAACCGCGAAAGGCUCAUUAAAUCAGUUAUGGUUCCUUAGAUUGUGCCCCGCACACUUACUUGGAUAACUGUGGUAAUUCUAGAGCUAAUACAUGCCGACUGAGUUCCGACGGGCGUUGCGGGUGGUUCACGCAGCUGUCCCACAACGUUCGGCAGGAACGCUUUUAUUAGAUCAAAACCGGCCGGGUGACUGUUUUCGUUCAUGCGGCGGAACAGUGGCCAGUGGCCCGCGCAAUGACUUGAUGACUCUGAAUAACUUUGAGCUGAUCGCACGGUCGUUUUCGUACCGGCGACGUAUCUUUCAAAUGUCUGCCUUAUCAACUGUCGACGGUAAGUUAGACGCUUACCGUGGUGGUAACGGGUAACGGGGAAUCAGGGUUCGAUUCCGGAGAGGGAGCCUGAGAAACGGCUACCACAUCUAAGGAAGGCAGCAGGCGCGCAAAUUACCCACUCCCAGCUCGGGGAGGUAGUGACGAAAAAUAACGAUACGGGACUCAUCCGAGGCCUCGUAAUCGGAAUGAGUACACUUUAAAACCUUGGUCACACGAGGAUCAAUUGGAGGG